GCGGAGGAAAAGAAAAUAACCAUGAUUGCCCUAGUAACGGCGAGUGAAGAGGCAAAAGCUCAAGUUUGGAAGCUCAAUGGUUUAACCAUUGCGCAUUGUAAACUGAAAACAGGAUCAAUCAGGUACACCGGGUGAUAAGUUCCUUGGAAUAGGACAUCAUGGAGGGUGAGAAUCCCGUCUUUGACCCGAGUCUAGUAUCUUUUGUAUUGGCCUGUUCAAGAGUCAGGUUGUUUGGGAAUGCAGCCUAAAGCUGGAGGUAAAUCCCUCCUGAAGCUAAAUAAUGGCGAGAGACCGAUAGCGAACAAGUACCGUGAGGGAAAGAUGAAAAGAACUCUGAAGAGAGAGUUAAACAGUACGUGAAAUUGCUUAAAGGGAAGCAUAUAAAGCUAGGAUGCGAUUGUUUUCUUCAGGUUGAGCUUUGGCUUGACUGUUCAGAAGGAUAAUCCAAGACAACAAGAAUUGGAGGAGGAGAAUAAGCCAUUGGGGAAGGUAAUCCUUCGGGAUGUUUAUAGACCUGAUGGUUCGCGCUCUUCUUUCGAUUGAGGUACGCUUUUUUUAAAGGUUGUUGUCUGAAUGGCUUUAUAUGGCCCGUCUUG
rnacentral:rRNA from 1 species